rnacentral:rRNA from 1 species
UCUUCCGCAAUGGACGAAAGUCUGACGGAGCAACGCCGCGUGAGUGAUGAAGGUUUUCGGAUCGUAAAGCUCUGUUGUUAGGGAAGAACAAGUACCGUUCGAAUAGGGCGGUACCUUGACGGUACCUAACCAGAAAGCCACGGCUAACUACGUGCCAGCAGCCGCGGUAAUACGCAGGUGGCCAGCGUUGUUCGGAAUUAUUGGGCGUAAAGCGCGCGCAGGCGGUUUCUUAAGUCUGAUGUGAGAGGCCCCGGCUCAACCGGGGAGGGUCAUUGGAAACUGGGGAACUUGAGUGCAGAAGAGGAGAGUGGAAUUCCACGUGUAGCGGUGAAAUGCGUAGAGAUGUGGAGGAACACCAGUGGCGAAGGCGACUCUCUGGUCUGUAACUGACGCUGAGGCGCGAAAGCGUAGGGAGCGAACAG